rnacentral:rRNA from 1 species
UACGGGGGGGGUAAGCGUUGUUCGGAAUUACUGGGCGUAAAGGGCUCGUAGGCGGCCAACUAAGUCAUACGUGAAAUCCCUCAGCUUAACUGGGGAACUGCGUGUGAUACUGGAUGGCUUGGAUUUGGGAGAGGGAUGCGGAAUUCCAGGUGUAGCGGUGAAAUGCGCAGAUAUCAGGAGGAACACCGAUGGCGAAGGCAGGUCUCUGGGCUGACACUGACGCUCAUGCACGAAAGCGUGGGGAG